rfam:Myotis davidii contig61128, whole genome shotgun sequence.
GGAUGUGAGGGCAAUAUGGCUGUGACAUGUGAACCCCAUUGAUCACUGGGGUGAAUUCAGCUGAUGUGGCUCAUUAGGAGGGCGUCCUCUUUCUCCCUUACAUGCAUUUCUCCUGAAGCUGCCCACUCUGUCAAAGGGGAUGACCUUCCCCAAUAGAGGAGAACCAUUCUUUGGUCAAGGAUAUACAAGUAGUUGCACUCCCCUACUAGAGCCUCCAAACAAGCUCUCAAGGGUCAUUUGUAGGAGAACAAAGGGUAGUCAAGCUCCCAAGAUUCCAGACACAUCCAACUGAGGUGCUGCAUGUGGCAAUCUGCCUUUCUU